UCCUGACUUUACUAUCAGCUCUAGCUAGACUUACACAUGCAAGUAUCCGCACCCCUGUGAGAAUGCCCCACAGUUUUCUGCCCGAAAACAAGGAGCUGGUAUCAGGCACAGCUGACCCUAGCCCACGACACCUUGCUUAGCCACACCCUCAAGGGAUUUCAGCAGUGAUAAACAUUAAGCCAUAAGUGAAAACUUGACUUAGUUAAAGCUAAGAGAGCCGGUAAAACUCGUGCCAGCCACCGCGGUUAUACGAGAGGCUCAAGUUGACAGACAACGGCGUAAAGAGUGGUUAAGGAAACUUUUAAACUAAAGCCGAACGCCCCCAGGACUGUUAUACGUCUCCGGGAGUAUGAAGCCCCACCACGAAAGUGGCUUUAUUUACCCUGACUCCACGAAAGCUGUGAAACAAACCGGGAUUAGAUACCCCAUUAUGCUCAGCCCUAAACCUUGAUAGACCAUUACAGCCACUAUCCGCCCGGGUACUACGAGCAUUAGCUUGAAACCCAAAGGACUUGGCGGUGCUUAACAUCCACCUAGAGGAGC
rnacentral:rRNA from 1 species